UUUCCAUAUCAUCUCCAUUUAAAAAUUCAAUAUUCCGAGUCAACCCCAAUUCCUUUUCUUAGCGUAUUCCUCCCAAACAGUUUAUUUCUCCUUCACUCCCAUGUUCACAAACAAAGUCUCAACAUCUUCACUCCCAGCCGCAUCCCUUCAUUACCGUUUAGCAUCCAUCAACAAAUUCCACGCGUCUCUCUUCCUAACCUCCCAACUCCAUGCUCCCAAGUUCAUUUCCUCUUCCGAUUCCUUCUCAAACCGAAUCUAGAUUAGAACAAAAGCAUCCCUGUUUCUCCGUGACAUCCUCCACAUCCUUUCCGAGCUUAUCUUCCCAAGGAAUAAAACUGGACUCCCAGCUGCCAGCCGUGAACUUCAUCCGCAUCAUCCUCUGUUUCGGAACAGAGAAGCAUCUUUAUCUUCUUCCAGCUCACGGCUCUUCUUCCCAGCCAAAUCCUCUCUCCGAAUCCCCUGUUUCAUCUAAACUGCCAGCCGAAUCCCAUGAUUUUUUCCCACGCAUCUGGUUC
rnacentral:lncRNA from 1 species